UUCCCUUGUAUAUCAAUUCCUUUCUCCCUUUUUUUUUUCUGGCUCUCUAGCUCUUUUCUAUUUAAAAUUUAGUAAUAUUUGGUCUUUGUAAAAUAUUCCCCCUUCUCUCAACCAUCUCUCCUUCUCUCUAACCCUAAUUAGCCGCCAGUCACACCAUCUGAUGAUGUUGUUUGUUUUUUCUAAGGCUAUAGUGGCUCACGCUUUUUCAAUCUCAUAUUCCAUAACUUUCUUUUACUCUAUCGAUUGCAGGUAUUCCAAGAAGUCGAUUCAUAGAGACGGUGAAGAAGAAUUGGAUUUGUAUGAGGCUUCUUAACUCUAUUGUCAUCUCUAUUGCUUGCUUCGAUUCACCAUAGUGAUCUGUUUCUUGGGGGUUCGGAUGUAAAUCUCCAUUGGUGAUCUGUUUCUUGGGUUUUCCUCUCAAUAUGUUAAAAGAAAUAGACCAGGUUUGUGUUAUGUUCUUUUCCACUGUAUAAAAUACAUAAAAACCCCAUUGUGUGUGUUUUUUUGAAGAUUUUACUUUAACGUGAAGACCCUGUCUGCUCCAUCAUCACUUUAAUUGCAGGUUAACAUGAAUGAAAAGUAUUAUCUAUUGGAAUAGACAAAAAAAAAGGGCUAACAACAUAAGGAAAUAAGAACUUUUGAUUCAAAUGGAUGUUGAUGAUCUUGAGGAGUAUGCUCAAAUUCCACCGGGACAAAAGUGAUGAGUUUUGAGCAAAAGAACAUCCUAUGUACACAUGCAAAUCACUUCAAAAGAUGUCGAUUGCUGGCUGAGGAGGGCAUAGAGGUGUUCAAAAGUAGAAAGGGUGAUUGUGUACAGGCAAUGAAAAAUGAGCAUGUUUUAGCAAGGAAGCAUACAUAAGAGCUGAGAUUAUCACAUGAUGUGGAAGAGAUGAAGUCAAAACUCAGAGAACUUGAUUCAUUGCUUUCACAGAUCAACAUUGUUUUCUGUUCUUCAUGCUUCUAUUUAUUUAGAUUCAAUGGAACUAGACCAUGUUUUGUUGGGCCUUUAAGAAUGGAAUGAGUUUUCAUCAUAA